GACCUAGUGAGGAUCUGCACACAUAUUUUGUCCUCAAAAAUUCUUUGUGGAAUGAAUGAAAGAAAAUUCCCACCAUUAAACAUGUUGGAGUCUGGAAUUCCCACAACACAGAACAGUUUGCCAGUGCUGCCUGGGCCUGUGACCGUCAAGGUUAGACCUGGGGUUCAAGGACUUACAGAUGGAAGUGAAUGCUCCUUCCUUUGAUGGUCCCCCCGCACCACCAGGGGAGGCAGAACAGACUUUUCAUAGGCUCUGAGUAUGAAGGUGUAUGAAGGCAAGGACAGCAUCCUGUACUCCUACUGUUUUCCAAUGGGGAUGCAUUUGCACAAGAAAGCUGAGCAAGGCUGUCCUCUGCCUACUGAGCUGAUACCCCUUCCUCGGCUGCAGCCUAAUGUAAACGGUGAGGAAAAGACG